rnacentral:piRNA from 1 species
UCCAAGUGUAAGAUUCCUUUUCAAUGGGC